AGCGAACGCUGGCGGCAGGCCUAACACAUGCAAGUCGAACGAACUCUUCGGAGUUAGUGGCGGACGGGUGAGUAACACGUGGGAACGUGCCUUUUGGUUCGGAAUAACUCAGGGAAACUUGUGCUAAUACCGAAUGUGCCCUUCGGGAGAAAGAUUUAUCGCCAUUAGAGCGGCCCGCGUCUGAUUAGCUAGUUGGUGAGGUAACGGCUCACCAAGGCGACGAUCAGUAGCUGGUCUGAGAGGAUGACCAGCCACACUGGGACUGAGACACGGCCCAGACUCCUACGGGAGGCAGCAGUGGGGAAUCUUGCGCAAUGGGCGAAAGCCUGACGCAGCCAUGCCGCGUGAAUGAUGAAGGUCUUAGGAUUGUAAAAUUCUUUCACCGGGGACGAUAAUGACGGUACCCGGAGAAGAAGCCCCGGCUAACUUCGUG
rnacentral:rRNA from 1 species